AGAGAGACUGAAAAUUAUUGGAUAGAACCUGUCACUGAUGAGUGUGUUCAAAAACAUUAAAACUGUUGUACAACUCCGUACGCCUGGCUACUCUGACGGGUGUAUUAGUGGAACCGCGAGGCAGCGACUUCUACAUUUUUUGUAGGAAUGCUGUUACGUCGGUGUCGCACGUUUAUGCGGUGGACGUAUCCCCAAGAUGCGGAUGGACGUCCAGAAGCAGUGUGCAGAUGCUUGAGGAAAUACUGAGGAACACAUGCUAUGGUGUCUGUGGAAGAGCAGUUGGAUAUGCAUGGAAGUCCAGAUAUGCAACGUGUGUCAGCGUGUGGUCACUUGUUGACCGGUCCAAACCCUUUCUUGUGCCACCUCCCACCAGCUGGUAUGAGAUGAGUUAUCGGGGAGCUUCCUUCUGUAAAUCAAUGAGCCCAAUGAUUCACCGUUUCAACGCUCGAGGACUUCACGGUUCAUCUGGGUUGUGCAAGAGGUGGCGGUACUCUCGGGGACAAGCUGUGUCUCCCACACGAGGCUGUCGACAGCUUUGAUCCAAUUUUAAAUGUCAGUCAAGUCAGUGGAUCGGGAGGAAGAUUUUACCAAUGAAAGAGAACAACAGGAAGUAAGGGAACACUCCAGAUUGCUUGGGUUGUUGAGUCAAAGAAAAAGCUGUGUUUAUUGCAAAAACCCAUUCUGGUGUGUGUCGGCACUUGAAGAAGUACGUGGCUCUCAUUGUCGAGAACAUUGGCGGGUUACUGUAAUUCAAUGUACCAUGUGUGGGGCUGAGAUCUGCUGAGAACAAUUUACAAGUGACAGCAAGAGGU